GAUGAACGCUGGCGGCGUGCCUAAUACAUGCAAGUCGAGCGAACAGAUGAGGAGCUUGCUCCUCUGACGUUAGCGGCGGACGGGUGAGUAACACGUGGAUAACCUACCUAUAAGACUGGGAUAACUUCGGGAAACCGGAGCUAAUACCGGAUAAUAUAUUGAACCGCAUGGUUCAAUAGUGAAAGACGGUUUUGCUGUCACUUAUAGAUGGAUCCGCGCCGCAGUAGCUAGUUGGUAAGGUAACGGCUUACCAAGGCAACGAUGCGUAGCCGACCUGAGAGGGUGAUCGGCCACACUGGAACUGAGACACGGUCCAGACUCCUACGGGAGGCAGCAGUAGGGAAUCUUCCGCAAUGGGCGAAAGCCUGACGGAGCAACGCCGCGUGAGUGAUGAAGGUCUUCGGAUCGUAAAACUCUGUUAUUAGGGAAGAACAAAUGUGUAAGUAACUAUGCACGUCUUGACGGUACCUAAUCAGAAAGCCACGGCUAACUACGUG
rnacentral:rRNA from 1 species